rnacentral:rRNA from 1 species
AGCGAACGCUGGCGGCAGGCUUAACACAUGCAAGUCGAACGGGUCCUUCGGGACUAGUGGCAGACGGGUGAGUAACGCGUGGGAACGUGCCUUUCGGUUCGGAAUAACCCAGGGAAACUUGGAUUAAUACCGGAUACGCCCUUCGGGGGAAAGAUUGAUCGCCGAAAGAUCGGCCCGCGUCUGAUUAGCUAGUUGGUGAGGUAAUGGCUCACCAAGGCGACGAUCAGUAGCUGGUCUGAGAGGAUGAUCAGCAACACUGGGACUGAGACACGGCCCAGGCUCCUACGGGAGGCAGCAGUGGGGAAUAUUGGACAAUGGGCGCAAGCCUGAUCCAGCCGUGCCGCGUGAGUGAUGAAGGCCUUAGGGUUGUAAAGCUCUUUUGUCCGGGAAGAUAAUGACUGUACCGGAAGAAUAAGCCCCGGCUAACUUCGUGCCAGCCGCCGCAGUAACAC